rnacentral:rRNA from 1 species
UACGGAGGGAGCUAGCGUUAUUCGGAAUUACUGGGCGUAAAGCGUACGUAGGCGGCUUUGUAAGUUAGAGGUGAAAGCCUGGAGCUCAACUCCAGAACUGCCUUUAAGACUGCAUCGCUUGAAUCCGGGAGAGGUGAGUGGAAUUCCGAGUGUAGAGGCGAAAUUCGUAGAUAUUCGGAAGAACACCAGUGGCGAAGGCGGCUCACUGGACCGGCAUUGACGCUGAAGUACGAAAGCGUGGGGAGCAAACAGG